rnacentral:rRNA from 1 species
GAUGAACGCUGGCGGCGUGCCUAAUACAUGCAAGUCGAGCGAACAGACGAGGAGCUUGCUCCUCUGACGUUAGCGGCGGACGGGUGAGUAACACGUGGAUAACCUACCUAUAAGACUGGGAUAACUUCGGGAAACCGGAGCUAAUACCGGAUAAUAUAUUGAACCGCAUGGUUCAAUAGUGAAAGACGGUUUUGCUGUCACUUAUAGAUGGAUCCGCGCCGCAUUAGCUAGUUGGUAAGGUAACGGCUUACCAAGGCAACGAUGCGUAGCCGACCUGAGAGGGUGAUCGGCCACACUGGAACUGAGACACGGUCCAGACUCCUACGGGAGGCAGCAGUAGGGAAUCUUCCGCAAUGGGCGAAAGCCUGACGGAGCGACGCCGCGUGAGUGAUGAAGGUCUUCGGAUCGUAAAACUCUGUUAUUAGGGAAAAACAAAUGUGUAAGUAACUAUGCACGUCUUGACGGUACCUAAUCAGAAAGCCACGGCUAACUACGUG